AACGAACGCUGGCGGCAUGCCUAACACAUGCAAGUCGAACGAGACCUUCGGGUCUAGUGGCGCACGGGUGCGUAACGCGUGGGAACCUGCCUUUAGGUUCGGAAUAACUCAGAGAAAUUUGAGCUAAUACCGGAUGAUGUCUUCGGACCAAAGAUUUAUCGCCUUUGGAUGGGCCCGCGUUGGAUUAGGUAGUUGGUGGGGUAAAGGCUUACCAAGGCGACAAUCCAUAGCUGGUCUGUGAGGAUGAUCAGCAACACUUGGACUGGGACCCGGCCCAGACUCCUACGGGAGGCAGCAGUGGGUAAUAUUGCACAAUGGGCGGAAGCCUGAAGCAGCAAUGCCGCUAGAGUGAUGUUGUCCUUAGAGUAGUAAAGCCUUUUUACCCAUGAUGAUAAUGACAGUAUCGGGAGAAUAAGCUCCGGCUAACUCCGUG
rnacentral:rRNA from 1 species